GAUGAACGCUGGCGGCGUGCCUAACACAUGCAAGUCGAGCGAACAGACGAGGAGCUUUCUCGUCUGACGGUAGCGGCGGACGGGUGAGGAAUACGUGGAUAACCUACCGAUAAGACUGGGAUAACUUCGGGAAACCGGAGCUAAUACCGGAUAAUAUAUUGAACCGCAUGGUUCAUUAGUGAAAGACGGUUUUGCUGUCACUUAGAGAUGGAUCCGCGCCGCAUAGCUAGUUGGUUAGGUAACGGCUUUCCAAGGGAACGAUGGGUAGCCGGCCUGAGAGGGUGAUCGGCCACAAUGGAACUGAGACACGGUCCAGACUCCUACGGGAGGCAGCAGUAGGGAAGCUUACGCAAUGGGCGAAAGCUUGACGGAGCAACGCCGCGUGAGUGAUGAAGGUCUUCGGAUCGUAAAACUCUUUUAUUGGGGAAGAAGAAAUGUGUACGUAUCUAUGCAUGUCUUGACGGUACCUAAUCAGAAAGCCCCGGCUAACUACGUG
rnacentral:rRNA from 1 species